GACGACAAAAAAGCGCCUGGACUAAGCGCGGGAACGGACGCGCGCUUAGUUGACGAGGAGGAGGUUUAUCGAGGUUUUCGGCGGAUGCCUCCCGGCUGGAGCGAUGACAGCCGCAAGUCCUCUCUUAAAACAAAGGGGUGACCCUUUGGACAAAGGGGAGGAUGUCAUCGCAC
rnacentral:ncRNA from 23 species